rnacentral:rRNA from 1 species
UACGUAGGGUGCAAGCGUUGUCCGGAAUUAUUGGGCGUAAAGAGCUCGUAGGCGGCUUGUUGCGUCAGCUGUGAAAACCCGCAGCUCAACUGUGGGCUUGCAGCUGAUACGGGCAGGCUUGAGUUCGGUAGGGGAGACUGGAAUUCCUGGUGUAGCGGUGAAAUGCGCAGAUAUCAGGAGGAACACCGGUGGCGAAGGCGGCUCUCUGGGACGGUACUGACGCUGAGACGCGAAAGCGUGGGGAGCGAACAGG